GAGUUUGAUCCUAGCUCAGGAUGAACGCUGGCGGCGUGGAUAAGGCAUGCAAGUCAAGGGGGGUGCAUCACACUGCGUGUGAUGCAGGUAGCAGGUUUCAGGUAGCAGGUUUCAACCUGUCACCUGUCACUUGCAACCUGCAUCGUGCGUUGCGCGAUGCAUCAACCGGCAGACGAGGUAGUAAUAAUUAGGUACGCACCCUAGGGUCGGGCAUAGCUCGUCGAAAGACGGGGUAAUUCCCGAUAGUCUCGCAAGAGUAAAGUUUUUUCGCCCUGGGAGCGGCCUGAUCGGUAUCAGCUAGUUGGUAGGGUAACGGCCUACCAAGGCUAUGACGCCUAGGGGACCUGAGAGGGUGACCCCCACCGAUGGGACUGAGACCAAACGAUCUCCUUGAGGAGCGAUCCUCAAGUAAAACCCAACUCAUAACGGUGGAUUCUUCAUGGUAAAAUUUACGCAUGAAGAGAAUACCGUGGGAAGUCGAUGUUUUUGAUUUUUCCGACGCAUAUGUCGCUGGAUUCUUCGAUGGCGAUGGUUCUCUGGUGGCAACACUGGAGAAGCAGACCGCGAAGUAUCGCAGGACCUAUCGUCCCCGAAUCAAGUUGAAUUUCACUCAGCAUUUGAAGCAUAGAGAUGUGCUUGAAAAGCUCCGUGAAUACUUGAAAGCAGGGAUUGUCCGGAUUUCUGUAUCACAUGAUUUGGCGGAAUUAGUGGUCGUCGAUAGGGUAGCUGUAAAGCGUAUCCUAGAAGCGAUGCUUCCGCAUCUCGUGAUAAAGAAGAAACAAGCCGUUCUGGCUCUUGAGAUCAUAAGAUCUCUGGGCAAGAAUGAGCGCACCAACAGGAUUUCAGAUGAUAUGUACAAGAAUAUCAUCGAAAAGAUCGGGCUGAUCCGGUCUUUGAAUUCUGGGACAGGAGGGAAAGAGCAAAAGAUAUUUGACCCCGUAACGACUUCUCGCAUAAGCGAGGGAGUCGCCGAAAUGUCACUUUAGUGGCUAAAACGGCGGCUAAGAUGUUGGCUCCGAUCCAAAUUCAGAUCGGAUGAAGGUAUAGUCUGAUACUCCGGGUGACCGGAGAAAACGCUAUGACGGCCCAUACACCUACGGGUGGCUGCAGUCGAGAAUCUUCCGCAAUGGACGAAAGUCUGACGGAGCGACGCCGCGUGGAGGAUGAAGUGCUUCGGUAUGUAAACUCCUUUUGCCGGGGACGAAGUUAUUGACGGUACCCGGAGAAUAAGAAGUUGCUAAACUCGUAAAACAAAAAUAGCAGCUUCUAAAGUGGAUAGACACUUGCACUCGUAGUAGAUCC
rnacentral:rRNA from 1 species